rnacentral:lncRNA from 1 species
CCCCACCCCCCAAGGCUAUAGCCCACCCGUUUUUGUGGCCUUUUUCCGUUGGACGAACUUGGCGUCCCGGCCUUCGGGCGGUUCUUUUUGGGCAUGGCUUUGCCCGCGGCCUAUAUUCGGCACACGGAGGCCCCUCGCAAAGUCUCGCGGCAUUCCGAGUCCGGCGGACGAAGUUAGCCAGCCCCACCCCCCAAGGCUAUAGCCCACCCGUUUUUGUGGCCUUUUUCCGCUGGACGAACUUGGCGCCCCGGCCUUCGGGCGGUUAUUUUUGGGCGUGGCUUUGCCCACGGCCUAUUUUUGGCACACGGAGGCCCCUGGCAAAGUCUCGCGGCAUUCCGAGUCCGGCGAACGAAGUUGGCCAGCCCCACCCCCCAAGGCUAUAGCCCACCCGUUUUUGUGGCCUUUUUCCGCUGGACGAACUUGGCGCCAAUGCCUUCAGGCGGUUAUUUUUAGGCGCGGCUUUGCCCGCGGCCUAUUUUUGGCACACGGAGGCCCCUCACAAAGUCUCGGGGCAUUCCGAGUCCGGCGGACGAAGUGGGCCAGCCCCACAACGCUAUAUCCCACCCGUUUUUGUGGCCUUUUUCCGCUGGACGAACUUUGCGCCCCGGCCUUCGGGCGGUUAUUUUUCGGCGCGGCUUUGACCGCGGCCUAUUUUUGGUACACGGAGGCCCCUCGCAAAGUCUCGCGCCAUUCCGAGUCCGGCGGACGAAGUUGGCCAGCCCCACCCCCCAAGGCUAUAGCCCUUCCGUUUUUGUGGCCUUUUUCCGCUGGACGAACUUGGCGCCCCGGCCUUCGGGCGGUUAUUUUUGGGCGCGGCUGUGCCCGCGGCCUAUUUUUGGCACACGGAGGCCCCUCGCAAAGUCUCGCGGCAUUCCGAGUCCGGCGGACGAAGUUGGCCAGCCCCUCCCCCCAAGGCUAUAGCCCACCCGUUUUUGUGGCCUUUUUCCGCUGGACGAACUUGGCGCCCCGGCCUUCGGGCGGUUAUUUUUGUGCGUGGCUUUGCCCGCGUCCUAUUUUUGGAACACGGAGGCCCCUCGCAAAGUCUCGCAGCAUUCCGAGUCCGGCGGACGAAGUUGACCAGCCCCACCCCUCAAGGCUAAAGCCCACCCGUUUUUGUGGCCUUUUUCCGCUGGACGAACUUGGCGCCCCGGCCUUCGGGCGGUUAUUUUUGUGCGCGGUUUUGUCCACAGCCUAUUUUUGGCACACGAAGGCCCCUCGCAAAGUCUCGCGCCAUUCCGAGUCCGGCGGACGAAGUUGGCCAGCCCCACCCCCCAAGGCUAUAGCCCACCCGUUUUUGUGGCCUUUUUCCGCUGGAAGAACUUGGCGCCCCGGCCUUCGGGAUGUUAUUUUUGGGCACGGCUUUGCCCGUGGGCUAUUUUCGGCACACGGAGGCCCCUCGCAAAGUCUCGCUGCAUUCCGAGUCCGGCGGACGAAGUUGGCCAGCCCCACCCCCCAAGGCUAUAGCCCACCCGUUUUUGUGGCCUUUUUCCGCUGGACGAACUUGGCGCCACGGCCUUCGGGCGGUUAUUUUUGGGU